rnacentral:rRNA from 1 species
AGGCAAAUCCGGUACUCGUUAAGGCUGAGCUGUGAUGGGGAGAAGACAUUGUGUCUUCGAGUCGUUGAUUUCACACUGCCGAGAAAAGCCUCUAGAUAGAAAAUAGGUGCCCGUACCGCAAACCGACACAGGUAGUCAAGAUGAGAAUUCUAAGGUGAGCGAGCGAACUCUCGUUAAGGAACUCGGCAAAAUGACCCCGUAACUUCGGGAGAAGGGGUGCUCUUUAGGGUUAACGCCCAGAAGAGCCGCAGUGAAUAGGCCCAAGCGACUGUUUAUCAAAAACACAGGUCUCUGCUAAACCGUAAGGUGAUGUAUAGGGGCUGACGCCUGCCCGGUGCUGGAAGGUUAAGAGGAGUGGUUAGCUUCUGCGAAGCUACGAAUCGAAGCCCCAGUAAACGGCGGCCGUAACUAUAACGGUCCUAAGGUAGCGAAAUUCCUUGUCGGGUAAGUUCCGACCCGCACGAAAGGCGUAACGAUUUGGGCACUGUCUCAACGAGAGACUCGGUGAAAUCAUAGUACCUGUGAAGAUGCAGGUUACCCGCGACAGGACGGAAAGACCCCGUGGAGCUUUACUGUAGCCUGAUAUUGAAAUUCGGCACAGCUUGUACAGGAUAGGUAGGAGCCUUUGAAACGUGAGCGCUAGCUUACGUGGAGG